rnacentral:rRNA from 1 species
GACAGAGGGGGCGAACGUUGUUCGGAAUUACUGGGCGUAAAGCGCGUGUAGGCGGCAGCGCAAGUCGGGCGUGAAAUCCCACGGCUCAACCGUGGAAGUGCACUCGAAACUGCGCAGCUAGAGUCCUGGAGAGGAAGGUGGAAUGCUUGGUGUAGAGGUGAAAUUCGUAGAUAUCAAGCGGAACACCGGUGGCGAAGGCGGCCUUCUGGACAGUGACUGACGCUGAGACGCGAAAGCGUGGGGAGCAAACAGG